rnacentral:lncRNA from 1 species
AGUUCUUCCAACAAAUCUAUUUAAUGUGGCUUCUAAAUGGAGUCAUGUUAAGGAACUGCCCGGUGGCUUUCACAUGCAUCUUGUGCCGAUGAGGUUUUAAAUGUAGAUAAACAUCCCUUGUACAUCACUUGAAUAUUUUUCAGGGUGAUAUUUUUUUUCCCUUAGUAAAAGCAGCUUACAAGGAAACUCAAGGGCAGAGAUGAUCAGCCCAGGCACUCCUGUGUGGUGUGUGUCACCCUGCCGGGAGGCUGAUCUGCGUCUCAGGGCUGCUAAUGGAUGAUGCGUGAGAGAGCCACGAAAGGCCAGCGGGAAGCAGGCUGGCAUUAGAACCCCACAAAUGGCAUCAUCUGUGGGGUACGGCUUGGGGAGGAGGGCAGGCCACUGGAGGCGGCUGGCUGUCCCUGGAGGCUGGAGCUUCUCAUGCUGUGUGGCAGGUGGCAUUUCAGCCAUUUCUAAAGCCAGCCCCUGGCAGGGACCCUGCACUGAGUCCAUCUGUGAGGAUGGAGAUCUCUGGAAAGGGGUCUCUUCAUCUCUUCCAGAAUUCAGGAGCACUGAAGUUACAGAGAACAGCAUGAAGACACACGUUUGAAUCCAGGCUAUGCUCUCCCCACCUCCUUGCCUUCGUUCUUCCCUCAUUCCUUUCACCACUACUACCCAACCCUGAAACCUAGCCGUCUCUAUAGAAAUAUAGAAAUUUGUUUCCCAGGUGUAAAAUGUAGCAGUGACAGGUGCAGACUAUU